CAGGGACAGUGUCUGUUUGCUACUCCAGCCUUAUGCCUGGCGCAUAGUAGGUGCUUUAUAAAUAACCAGAAGAAUGAACGAAUGUCAUCAGGUCAGCUGAAUCCGCAGAGACUCUAUUAGCCUUUCUUGACAUCAUGCCUUCGGAGGGGCAGGAGCUCCGCAUACAGCUGCAGUGGGGCAGUCUGCAGCUAGAGCGUCACUCCAGCAAGGUAAUGUGAAUAGUUGCUCCAGGUUGACACGUUGGAAAACCCCAAAAGUUCUGAGUCCCUGCAGCUCCCAAGCGGCAGGCUCAGGAGCACAACGUGCUCAUCAGCGGAUGAAGAACCAGAGAAGGGAUGGUGGGAUUUUCUUCUGAAAAAUCAUGCACUGACUUGUCAGAGAGAAAACAGAACAGAGGUAGGUGAGAGGGAGAGACCGUGUGGGACACUCAUGGGUGGGAGG
rnacentral:lncRNA from 1 species